AUAUUCCUGGGCAUUCUCAGUUCAGUUGGUUUUGUGCCUCGGGACGCACGACAUCAUGGCCUUGUUCCUCAUACUCGCCCUCUGCUCUGUGGCUGCUGCAUAUAGCUUCGUAGAGCUACCGAUAGAGGAUGAUCCUCGGUUUGCCUUGUCGCAAAACGUCAAAGCUAUGACCAGCAUAAGAGAGAGAAUGUACAUCGUUUCCCGGAACUACAAUAUCACCACCCCUAAUCGCUGCCACUCGGCGAUAAAGACGGCAGCUCUCAGCCAUGACAAGAUUGUAGUCGCUCUGCGAACUCACUUGGGAGGAAUCGGCGGUCCACCGGAAGAAUCGAAGAGUCUGUUCGUUACUUUAAGAACCGGAUUGCACAAGAGAGAUAACGCAGUAAUCUACAAGCUCCACCCACGUAA